AGGACCGCUGCCUUAAAUGUCCCGUUUCAUCCUCCCACUCCUCCAGAUCUACACCGGCCAGGAAACUUUUCUAAAGCCUGUCGAGUGCAUGUGGAAGCCAAAGCUCAGAUGUUCUUUUCUCCCAAACACAAGCCAGCAGCUCUUGGCGUCACUCCUUCUUGGCGCACUUCAACAAACCGAUACACUGAGUCAUGGACCUUUUGCUUUUGUUGCUCUGAACCCACUGUGAUGAUGAAAAAGCCUGUAUUAUCGCGUUCAGCUGCUGGGAACCUCGCUCUUUUGUGACGGACGCCGCGGAUUCGGCAAUAAAAGCAGAUUUACCCUCACACUGGUGUCGACCGACGGAUAGAGGAAUCAUCAUCACAGCAUCUCCAAAACCACAUUAACAUCGGCCCAGGGUGCAUCCUACUCAGUUUAUACACAGAAGAAAAUAAGAAAAGUUUAAGAGCUGAAACACAAACAGUUAAAACCCCAGGAAGAGGAAGCAGAGAAAUGAGUGUAAAGAAAAACACUGAAGGACGAUGACAGGAAAGAGUUUAGAGACGAUCGGAAGAAGGAAAACAGAUUCAACUUCUGUUGAACUCGAAGACAGUUUAACUAAUGACCCGUUAGAUUCAGAUUCUCCAUCACAAAACUCACAUUAAAACCUCUAAACAACCAAUAAAUAUAUCAGAGGUGUCUAAAGUAUUCACAUUCAUUCCUCAGGUAGAAGUAUUGAUACUAGGGUUUAACCAGACUUCUGCAGAAGCUGAAGUAUCAACUCAAGCCUUUUAGGGUGUAUUCACAUCAGAAAAGUCCUUUGGUCCGCUUAUUUGUUUCGGGUCAAAUGUGGACUUUAUUUUUUUCAUUU